CCUCACCCUCGGCCGCCUGCAAAGUCUGCAGGAGCUGGCGCGCUUCCUCCUCCUCCUCUUCGGCCGCCGCCGCCGCCGCCACCGCCUCCCCCCCAGCCGCCGGCCCCGCGCUCGGCUCCGAAGGCAAGGGCCUCAGUUUCCCCAUCGGGACAACGGAGAAGGUAACGGGCCGUCCGGGAGGGCUAAGGGCGCGAAGCCACCUCCGCCCUGAGACUGAGCUUCUGCAUGCCUCCGUCUCCAGGGUCCUCCGAAGGCCCCCCUUACUCCUCAUCUCGGCCCGCGCUCCGCCCCUCGGAAUUCCCGGCUCCGCAGGGGGGCGGGUCUGGCUGGGAGAAGGGGCGGGGAAAACGGGCUAGAAAGUUUGCAGCAACUUUUCUUGAGCUUAGGUCCCUGGAACGGAUGCGCGUGGCCCGCGCAGGCGCAGUGGCAGGAGGAUGGCCGCGCGCGCCGCCCGCCCAGCCCCCUUCUUCGCGGCGGUCUAGUGGCACAGCUGGGCCACAGCUGGACAAGGGGCGGUGCCUUCGAGUGGCCCGCUCCUCUUCUUCUAUUGGCCGGAGGUCGAAGCCACACCCUCAUCCCUACCCCCACCCCUGAUUCGUCCGCUUCGUCUCCCGCUAGCUUCCUGCCAGGCCAUUGGCCGCCUCCACUCGCCUGGCCGGAUUGGCCCACUGAGUAGCCUCCUGCCCUCCUUGCAAACAGAGCCGGCACGAAGUUCGAGCAUUCUGGGCAGACGAAAGGGCCUUUUAUUUGCGAGGAUCGGGGGUGGGGUCCUAGGUGGGGAAAGACAAUAAAUACCGAGGAAUGUCGGGG